AGAAGGUGCCUCCUGUGAUACAAGAUACAGACGUAGUCUCCUAUCCAGGAAACAGGGACAGAGCCGCAGACCAGAUAAAGAUACGACCAACAUUUUUCAUUAAAUAUUCUCAACGGAUUAUUUACAUUUUUUCUAGAAAAGUAAAAUUUAAACCUGAAUACAUUUGAUAACUAUGGAAUGUGAGCAUUCACGUAUGCUUGUGACCUGGUUCCUCUACGCUUCAGGGGUCGCCCUGGUCCCAAAGCGCUUCCUGCCGCUCCCACUUCCUCUGUUUUCACCGGAGGGGCAGCCACAGUUCUCGGCUGAGAGAAACUCGGUCGUUCUGUUUACCUCGUGAAUGAUUGGCUACAGAUCCCAGAGAGGAAAUAGGGACCCACCCCUCAGUUGUUAUGCAAUCUGGGGCGGAGUCCGGGGUCCAUAGCCUUUCUGAGGGUAACCUGAGCGGGAGAAGUUGUUGCGCCUGAUCUCAAACAGCCUUUCGCACGGAAAAGGAUUCCUAAAAGUGGGGUUACUCCUCCACAGCAAUAGCGUCCUUAAAAUAGGGGCUCCCGGCUGGGCGCGGUGGCUCACCCCUGUAAUCCCAGCACUUGAGAGGCCAAGACAGGCGGAUCACCUGAGGUUGGGAGUUCGAGACCAGCCUGAACAACAUGGAGAAACCCCCUCUCUACUAAAAAUACAAAAUUAGCCGGGUGUGGUGGCGCAUGCCUGUAAUACAAGCUACUCGGGAGGCUGAGGCAGGAGAAUCGCUUGAACCUGGGAGGCGGAAGUUGCGGUGAGCCGAGAUGGCGCCAUUGCACUAUAGCCUGGGCAGCGGCAAGAGCGAAACUCCGUCUC
rnacentral:lncRNA from 10 species